GGCGGCGUAGCUCAGUUGGUUAGAGCAGCGGAAUCAUAAUCCGCGUGUCCCCGGUUCGAAUCCAGGCGCCGCCA
rnacentral:tRNA from 1 species